rnacentral:rRNA from 1 species
GAUGAACGCUGGCGGCGUGCCUAAUACAUGCAAGUCGAGCGAACGGACGCGACGCUUGCUUCUCUGAUGUUAGCGGCGGACGGGUGAGUAACACGUGGAUACCCUCCCUAUCUGACUGGGAUAACUUCGGGACACCGGAUCUAAUCCCGGAUGAUCUUUUGAACCGCAUGGUUCAAUAGUGAAAGACGGUCUUGCUGUCACUUCUAGAUGCAUCCGCGCUGCAUUAGCUAGUUGGUAAGGUAACGGCCUACCAAGGCAACGAUGCAUAGCCGACCUGAGAGAGUGAUCGGCCACACUGGAACUGAGACACGGUCCAGACUCCUAAGGGAGGCAGCAGUAGGGAAUCGUCGGCAAUGGGCGAAAGCAUGACGGAGCAACGCCGAGUGAGAGAUGAAGAUCUUCGGAUCGGGAAAAUCUGUUAUUAGGGAAGAACAGAUGUGUAAGGAAAUGAGCACAUCGUGACGGUACCUAAUCAGAAAGCAACGGCUAACUACGUG